CUCUCUCUCACUCUCACUUUCUCUCUGUCUAUUUCCCUCUCCCCUUUCCUGCUGUGUCGCACUUCUCUUUCUCUUUCCAUAAGACGUACCUCUCUCUGCUCCCUUCUCAUUUGUCUUUCAAUUUCUCCCACAUGUGCUUAUCUGCUUCAGAUGUGCUGCUGUACCUUUUGCAUUGAAGAAAGUUUCUGAUGUUUUUUCUUUUUCUGUCCUGUUGGACUGAGAACAGGCGUGCACAGCUUCUUCAGCUGGGCUUUCUACAUUGAAGGGGGCAGGACUCGUACCGCACACAUAUAUACACACACACACGUGUUCCUGUCCGUUCAAUGGGUGUAUGGUGUGGGAACGGAGAUGGGGAGGUCCCUGCGUUCUUCACGGCCCGGGCAGCCGUGUUGUCAGGGACGGGCCCCGGGUGAUGAAGCCUGUGAGGAGUUUGCAGAGAUGUUCCACUCAACAAUGGUAAGAAUCGUCAGAUCUUUGCCAUCAGAGCAGACUUUGCAAUCCGAGAGAUUCCUCAGGAAUUCUUAGCCGUCUUUCUAUCUCAUAUCUAUGUCGUGGAUCACCUCUGGACACUUUCCUAAACUCUUUUUGGAAUUUAUUUUCAGUGCUUUAAGAAAAAAAAAAAACAAUGAUGAAGACACACACUGAGAAAGUCUUUGUGAUACCUUCAGCAAGCACAUAUAGUGGAGCAGAUGGUGGCCCUCAUUGGGUGAGUAAUUCAAGACAUUGACUUAUAUCUGGGGGCCCAUGAGCAAAUGGAAGGCAAAACGGUGUGUGCACAUGGACAUAUGUGUGAGUGUGUGUGGUUUUGGUGUGUAAGAGAGGGUGGGCGGCCUUCUUAGAUGUAUAGCGGAAAAUGAAAGAGUUAAAUGAAAACGAGGAGAGAAAGUCACCGACAAAUGUGCCAUUGAGCUCCUUUGCUGUGUACGCUGGGGAAACCCUGUACAUAGUCUGCAAGGUGUCUACCUACAGUUCCCAUAACACAUCAAAUUGACAGUUGGACUGUGGAAAUUAGUAUGGAGGCCGUGCCAUUGAUAAAUAACAGGCCGAAAUGAGAUCAUGGGGUCCAGACUCUGUCCGUGGCUUUGAAAUUCCCAUCAUCUUGUUUUCAGAGCUAAAUGGCUUAGAUAGACAGGAGUUGUUGAUGCUUUAUGCCCACGUUGCUUGUUGUUGUUAUAACUUACUGUAAGAUCGCUUUCACAAACAUAGACUAAGCUUAGCUCGUGUUCUUAAAAUGUGUUUUAAAGCCAUAUAUGCUUUCUCCAAGGCAUGAAAUAGCAUGUGGAUGUAGCUUUGGGAUUAAGGCAAGACAUUACAGGUGAACAGAGUCCAGUGUUUUAUUAACAGAUGUCACAAUAGUUUCACCUGUUGAUAAAUCACAACUAGGGCUGUGAAUCUUUGGGUAGACAGCAAUUCAAUUCACGAUUCAUAGGUUUUCGAUUCGAUACAAGAACGAUUUUUGCAAAUUAAGAACGAUUCGAGUCAUGAUUUGAUUCUGUAUUGUUUAAGUGCAUGCACAGGAUUAUUUAAAUGCUUUGCCUAAAUUCUGUAAAUGCUUAGGCAGGGGAAGAUUACAUAGCAGUCUUUAUGGUUACAGAAACUUAGGUUAUAGAGAGAGAGAGAAAACAUUUUUUUCCAUUGUUAGAUGCUAGUUUAAAGGGGUCAUAUGAUGCAAUUUCAAUAUUUCCUUUCUCUUUGGAGUGUUACAAACUAUUGGUGCAUAAAGAAGAUCUGUAAAGUUGCAAAGACUAAAGUCUCAAAUCCAAAGAGAUAUUCUUUAUAAAAGUUAAGACUCGUCCACACCCCCCUGAAACGGUUCGUUUAAACACACCCCCACAUCUCUAUGUCACUAUGUGGGAUGAUUUAAAGAAAGAAAGGUUUACCUUUUAUUCUCGUUGUAGUAUUGUUGUUGCUGGAUAGCUGGCCAAUCAGAGCACACCUCACUCUUCAGACGGAUGAGCCUUGUAAAAAUUUACGUGUUUCAGAAGACGGGGCAUAGAGGAGAAACAAUAAUGUACAGUAUGUGGAAAAUAUUUGUUUUAACCUUAAACCGCAUAAACAUGUUUCAUUAAUUUUGAUUUGAUUUAAUGGUUUAUUUAAAAGGAGACAGUGCAAUUUUAUAAAACACAUGAACAAAAAUGGUUAAAAAAGCCAGAAUUAGCCAGAAGGCUAUUUUUCAUCUGUAGUCCCCUGGCCAAGAUGUAAAACAAGCAUUAAAAUACGAACAAAAAUAUACAUUUACAAGUCUAUGGCAAAUUGACUACAAUAUAAAUGACACUGUAAAAUAACAUAAGGUACAUUGUACCUGUUACAAUAAUCAGACACACAAAAAACACAUUUUCAAAAAUGGCUAUAGUGUAUCUAAUAUAUAAUACAGCUCAAUAGGCUAGACAUAAUUGUUAAUGAGCCAAAUUUUCAAUUUUUUUGUAAAGGCCUUGUAAGUGUUGAGCUGUCUAACCUCCUCAGGUAUAGAGGAAUAUACCAAA